CCUCAGCACAGUUUAGUCUCGUUAAUCUUUCCAAGGUCUCCUCUUUCCACUGUCUGUUUGCCCUUCCUUCUCCUGGGCCUUCACUGUCUGUUAUUCUCUCCUGCCAAGGUCACUCUUAUCUCUGUUCUUGUUCCAUUCUUUCUACCUCCCCUCUUCUUCUGUUAUCAUCUUUCAUGCAAAUGCCACUCACCUCCUCUGUUGUCUCUUGCUAACUCAUCCCUUUCCAGAACAGCUGAAAGACAGGAAAUGGGUUGAAAUAGGAAAAACAACAGCUAUCAAACCUGGCUACAGGACCAGUGUUUCUGCUGUCUCUCAUAAGUGGAAGUCUUUGCAAAGAGACUUUGCAUUUCUGCUCUGGGUGAAGACAUUAUGUUCUCACAUAAUGUCUCGGUUUGUAACAAGAAGUUUGGUACACGCUGGCUGUAGGAGCAAAGGAGAGGCAGAGCAGGAAGGGCUGUGAGGCUGUGUUCAGUUUGAACUGCAGAAAAUAGUACUUCCAACUGGGAAUAAGGGCAGUCCAUGGUAUCAGCUGCUCUAUUUCUGAUUCACAGCUCAGGAGGCCUCUGUUUUCCGCAGCCCCAUGUUCAGCAGGUAGUGUGGCACAUGCACUUCUGCAAAUACCAAAGCAGACAAAUGAUGUUCACUCACUGGCAGUGGUCUAGCUAUUGGUAUUCCAAAAUUAGGGAUUCAGCUCCAUCCCUGCAUGCUGAGUGCAACAGCUUAAAGCACUGUCGCCACCGCUGCUGCAUAGUUUGCUCUCAGUGCAUGAGUGACAUAGGGUGUCCUCUCACUGCCCCAGAAGCAGGACAAUAGUACAGGAUUUACAGAGCCUGAGGGAAUGAUUUGCUGGAGCAUACAGUGUUGGCCUGGUGCCACUACCAUGGAGGUCAGGGUCAAAUCGGCCAUUGGCUUAUGAAGCAGCUGGUACUAUUGAAAAAUGCCACCCUUGGGCUUUGUGAACUUGGGCUGUUUUCUCGAUCCCACAGUAGAACUGAAAACAUCUUUCAUCCACAGCACUGUUGAGAGAAUGGGCAGUAGCUAUCUAGACAAAUGUCUUUUUCUUCCUAAUAGCACUUGGAAAUUUGCCCUUAAACCAGACUCCAACACAAACUGACAAAAUCACAACCCUUUAAACAGGAACUUCUUCCCUACAUAAAUUGGUAUGCAAGUAGAAGGGAGAGGGCCUGGCAGUUGUCAGAACCCAUCUAAGACCACAUCCAAAACAUCAGCUGAACUUAGCUUCUUGCAAGAACCUAUCCUGUUUGGUGCUUUUUCUCCAUGUUUAAAUAAAUGCCCAGACUCAAGCAAAAAGUGACAAUAAAAAUCCUGGGAGACCUGCUAUGCACGACUGUCACAGUUUAAGCAUCACUGUUGUGCUUUUAGAUACAGACAUAUCCAGGCACUGCAGUGCCAACAAGUAGAAGGAACAUCUGAAAAUAACUUUAAAACUUAAGGCACACAAUGAAGUAAUGAAACAUGGAAGCAAAGAGCUAAAAAGACACCAAAAUGAAGCCUAAAGAGACUAGCCAACAUCAACAAACAAAAUUUGCUGCACACCCAGCCUUAACAGAAAGCAAGAAUUCCUUCUGAAUUCUUCUGAACAAAAUGUCUUCUGAACAAAAAGAUUAUAAGACUGAGAUUAUCAACUGCCUAAGAGUCUUGUCCCUUGGGUGGCACCAGCCAACAGGUCUAUGGUGAGAUGGCAAAAUGAAGUAAUACAUACUGUUAUCUCAGAGUACAUUACAUGGCUGAGGUGGAGAUGGUAUUUAUAUUGGCAUUCAAGUCAUGCUUUUUUCAAUAAAAAUGUAAUUCUGUGGCUCUAUAGUGAGGCUGUGGAGGUCCAGAGUCUAAGGUCAGGCCAUCAUAAAUGGGAAUUUACUCAUGCUCAGCUGACUUGGAUGUUGCCCUUUGAAUGGACACAUCAAUGAUAGGAGUUAAACUGCCUCACCCACUUCCACUUACCUCCUUCAUUUUUUAUGCCAUUUUGUCAAUGCAACCUGGAAGCAGAGAUGACAACUCAGACCUGCAAGAGUGAACUUUGGCUGCUAUGUGAAAUGUUUACCCUGCCUGCUGUGUAGUGUCACCCACCAGGCUGCAAAAUGAAUAUGAACUACAUGAUCUGAUGGUUCAGAUAACACUCACCUACAGACACAGAGCAAACUGUCGAACUCCAACUAGUGCCCCAUGAGCUGCAACACUGCUCAGGUGUAAUAUACCCCUCCAGCCAAAGAAAGGACACACACAGCUUUACGUCUCAAAUCCCACUGUGCUCAUGUACAGAAAAGGGGACGUAAGCAUGGCCUACAUACUGUUAAAUGGGAGUAGAGGGGGCUGUGCACAACAUAAGCUUUUUGCAGGUGCCUUUAGCAUGUCUCCAUGUACUAACUUAAACGAGGCUAUACUCUUUAAAGUUUACCCUGUUUCAGGCUAUGGCUCUAGAACAGUAGUCUCCUAGGAGUGCUGUUAGCAUUAAUACCUUGCACUGUCCUCAAUCUGUCCUUCAGAAGGCUGCCCGAUGCUCCCUGGAAAAUUUCCCAGUGGUUCAGCUGACAGUAGCAUUAAAAAUCACAGCAUGUGUCUGUAGUCUUUGUAUCAGACAUUCAGAGAUAGCACACUGCAGAGAUGCAAUUGUUGCAGCUAUGUGCUCUUAAAAGACUGCAUCUGUCCCAGGGAACGUCUUUUCCAGAGAUGACCAUCUCCAAGCAGACAGCUGCAGAUCUCAUCCAGUUUAUUCCCCUAGCAGCUAUAUAACUUCAGGUCUGCUGCAAAAUUCCCUACUCAAAUUUUGCCCUUAAUUUGAGGGUCAUCCAUGCACAAAACCUCUUAGAUCUUUCCAGUGGCACAUCAAAAUAAAGAUUAAUACUGUUAUUCAUGCGAGUCACUGCUACGAUAGCCUCCCUGGCACACUAGUUUCCCAGGAAUGCUGUUGAACAGAUACCUUGUGCUGUCCUCCUCAUCUUGUCCUUGAGAGUUCCUCCCAUUAUUCCUUGGAAAUUUUCCCAGAGUGGUUCAGUUUACAGCAGUGCAAGAAUCACAGCACGUGUCAGUAGAUGGUUUUAUAUCAGGUGCACUGGGAUACAAUGCAGCAGAGGCUUGAGUAUCACAAAGUUAGCUCUGUUAUAUUCCCCCCUUGGUUAUUAAAAAAAGAAAGGAGGAAAGGAAGGAAUAAAUAGUGAAGUAAGUCAACAAGAACCCACAAUCCAUUCCUUAAGUGGUAACCAGGCUACUGUGCUUUGGAACUUUUCCUGAUACAACAAAAGACACCAUGAAGACAGGAACUUUGGCAGCAGUGGUUUUGAACUCUACAACCCCCAACUUUCCUCUGUUUUUCUAUGCAUAUGUUACUGGAAAUAUAAUCAUCUGCUAGGGAAGCAGUCAACCCCCAAAUGGAUACCUAAGCAGCAGCAAGCCUCUGGAAGUUACUAUUGCUAGAAUAAAAAGGAGAUUUUCAGCAAAGCAGCCCUAAAUUCCUGAAUUAGCUGAUGCCCUCCUUUGCCUGGCCACUGUCACCAUAGUGACCACAGGAGCUGCCGCCGAGCCAGUGCCCUGCGGCUUGGGACGGACGCGAACGGGACACCGUGCUGGGAAUUUAGUGACUGACUCAGGGCCUGGUGAUGGGGAUGUGGGCUGUGGGAGCAGGCCCUGGGAGCAGCCUUGGGCGUAAUGUGCUGGGAAAAGUGGCUUACAGAGAAGAGGGCUGCAAUUCCUGCCCUGAAUACCAGCCUCGAAGGGCCAGCACUGCCAGAGCUGUUGCAAGGUUACCAGAGGAGUCAGAAGGUGAAGCAAAAAGAGUUGAUGAUGAGGAGCAUGAGGAAAGAAAGCAUUGACAGCAAUACAGCAAACACGGUUAAGCUGGAGCUGGAAUAAGCAGAUUCAUUCCCUUCGACAUCAUUUGUGUGGACUGCUCCCUCUCCUGGGGAAAACUUGAAAAAAAAAAAAGUAAAAAUCACAACCCAAAACAGUCUUCAAGCAAACAAUGCACCCCCAGAGUUCACAGGCAGACAGGCCCCGUGCUUCCAGGUUCAAGCUGGACACGGCAAGGUGCAAGACCCCUGUGCUGCCCUUCCCAAACUGGCUGUGUCCUGGAUACAGGAGCCCCCGGGGUGGUGAAGCCAGCUGUGACCUCUGGACAUGCACAGCUAAGCACUGCUCCAGCCUGCACAGACAACAGCAACACUGUCUUCUCUCUGCUUGGUGCUGCUUCCAAGCACCACCCAGACCAUCCUCCACUCUCAAACCACUGGAAUUGUCCAGUGGCGCAACAGGCGAGGCUCCAGGAAACAGUGCUUGCAAGCACUUUUUAGAGUGAAUGCUGGAGUAUAAUUUCCUCUUUGCUGGGAAUUGGACAGAAAUCACCAGUUCCAAUCUAUAUUGCGGGCAGAUCACAGAUCAGAAGCCAAACUUCAAAUGCUUCGGUGAUGCCUAAGGUAACACAGUGGCCAUGUGUCAUGGAUCAAGCUCUUCAGGGCAGAGAGUUGGACUUGACAUGAAAAUCCUGAGCAGCCAACAGUGGAUUCAGGGAACCCAACAGCACCUGUUUUAGGAUGAAACUUGUGUUUCUACACCCCUAGAUACAAAAACUUGAAACCUUAAUUCACAGUUGAGUAGAAAUGCAAAUACCACAGACCAAAGCAAUACACAGUUAUGUCAACUCUGAUGUUUCA